UCCAAACCGUAUGGCUUUCUUCCUCUACCU
rnacentral:piRNA from 1 species